CAGUCGCCGCGGGAAUACGAAGGGGGCUAGCGUUGUUCGGAUUUACUGGGCGUAAAGCGCACGUAGGCGGAUCGAUCAGUCAGGGGUGAAAUCCCAAAGCUCAACUCUGGAACUGCCUUUGAUACUGUCGAUCUGGAGUAUGGAAGAGGUGAGUGGAAUUCCGAGUGUAGAGGUGAAAUUCGUAGAUAUUCGGAGGAACACCAGUGGCGAAGGCGGCUCACUGGUCCAUUACUGACGCUGAGGUGCGAAAGCGUGGGGAGCAAACAGGAUUAGAUACCCCGGUAGUCCCUGUCUCUUAUAA
rnacentral:rRNA from 1 species